rnacentral:rRNA from 1 species
ACGCUGGCGGCGUGCCUAAUACAUGCAAGUCGAGCGAACGGACGAGAAGCUUGCUUCUCUGAUGUUAGCGGCGGACGGGUGAGUAACACGUGGAUAACCUACCUAUAAGACUGGGAUAACUUCGGGAAACCGGAGCUAAUACCGGAUAAUAUUUUGAACCGCAUGGUUCAAAAGUGAAAGACGGUCUUGCUGUCACUUAUAGAUGGAUCCGCGCUGCAUUAGCUAGUUGGUAAGGUAACGGCCUACCAAGGCAACGAUGCAUAGCCGACCUGAGAGGGUGAUCGGCCACACUGGAACUGAGACACGGUCCAGACUCCUACGGGAGGCAGCAGUAGGGAAUCUUCCGCAAUGGGCGAAAGCCUGACGGAGCAACGCCGCGUGAGUGAUGAAGGUCUUCGGAUCGUAAAACUCUGUCAUUAGGGAAGAACAUAUGUGUAAGUAACUGUGCACAUCUUGACGGUACCUAAUCAGAAAGCCACGGCUAACUACGUGCCAGCAGCCGCGGUAAUACGUAGGUGGCAAGCGUUAUCCGGAAUUAUUGGGCGUAAAGCGCGCGUAGGCGGUUUUUUAAGUCUGAUGUGAAAGCCCACGGCUCAACCGUGGAGGGUCAUUGGAAACUGGAAAACUUGAGUGCAGAAGAGGAAAGUGGAAUUCCAUGUGUAGCGGUGAAAUGCGCAGAGAUAUGGAGGAACACCAGUGGCGAAGGCGACUUUCUGGUCUGUAACUGACGCUGAUGUGCGAAAGCGUGGGGAUCAAACAGGAUUAGAUACCCUGGUAGUCCACGCCGUAAACGAUGAGUGCUAAGUGUUAGGGGGUUUCCGCCCCUUAGUGCUGCAGCUAACGCAUUAAGCACUCCGCCUGGGGAGUACGACCGCAAGGUUGAAACUCAAAGGAAUUGACGGGGACCCGCACAAGCGGUGGAGCAUGUGGUUUAAUUCGAAGCAACGCGAAGAACCUUACCAAAUCUUGACAUCCUUUGACAACUCUAGAGAUAGAGCUUUCCCCUUCGGGGGACAAAGUGACAGGUGGUGCAUGGUUGUCGUCAGCUCGUGUCGUGAGAUGUUGGGUUAAGUCCCGCAACGAGCGCAACCCUUAAGCUUAGUUGCCAUCAUUAAGUUGGGCACUCUAAGUUGACUGCCGGUGACAAACCGGAGGAAGGUGGGGAUGACGUCAAAUCAUCAUGCCCCUUAUGAUUUGGGCUACACACGUGCUACAAUGGACAAUACAAAGGGCAGCGAAACCGCGAGGUCAAGCAAAUCCCAUAAAGUUGUUCUCAGUUCGGAUUGUAGUCUGCAACUCGACUACAUGAAGCUGGAAUCGCUAGUAAUCGUAGAUCAGCAUGCUACGGUGAAUACGUUCCCGGGUCU